UGUGAGCUGCAGGACCGGAGUGGGUCAUCGUCUCAAAUCCAGUGGUGGACAUCAGUGGUUGCUGCUUUCAAGACGAUGGGUGAUUUGAUAUUUUGUGGCUGUCAUCGUUUUUUCUGUUCUCAUUCAUCUGAUUCUGAUUCAUUUGAACGACUCACGCCAAGACUCUCCCUCCAUGUGGAGUAAAAUAACAAGACGUGGGCUGGAAAAACAAUGAGGCACAGCAGAUGCUGUCGCUGGAGUAAAUUCCGACGUGGAAGAUGAAACCUGACCAAUGCUGUGAAAUCAUCAUCUGCUGGCGAACCACAUUGGGACUUCAAUAUGUGAUCUGAGUUUACAGCGAUAGAAACAUCUUCUGUGCCUCCACCAGAAAAAAAAAGAAACCACAACAAUUUUCGUUGAUUUCAUGUUUUUACGACAAAUUUGAUGAGUGAACGUCAGAGGGCGGGAUGAGGAUUGACUGGAUGUAUCAGCUCAUAAAUGAAGCAUGUGUUGUACUGUGCACAGCAGCCAGGACUAAUCCUGUGAAUCCUGUGAAGGUGUGUGUUGUUCUAUCAGCGGAAACUCACAGACUGAAUGAAACAAUGAUUUGUGCCUCUCGAUCAUUGUCCCUAAUUCACACAAUGAAAUCUCUGAUUAAUCAUUCAAAUGGUGAAGUUUUCCCUGUGACCGCAGACGGCUGUGAUUUGAAAUGGUGACUGUUGCUCUACCUGCCUGCGAAUUGCAUUUAGCUCAUGUAACUGUAAAUGAAGAAGAACUCCUUCCGAGUAAAAAAUGUUCUUGGAUUCUGAA